CCUACGGGGGGCAGCAGUGAGGAAUAUUGGUCAAUGGACGAGAGUCUGAACCAGCCAAGUAGCGUGAAGGAUGACUGCCCUAUGGGUUGUAAACUUCUUUUAUAUGGGAAUAAAAUGUUCCACGUGUGGGAUUUUGUAUGUACCAUAUGAAUAAGGAUCGGCUAACUCCGUGCCAGCAGCCGCGGUAAUACGGAGGAUCCGAGCGUUAUCCGGAUUUAUUGGGUUUAAAGGGAGCGUAGGUGGAUUGUUAAGUCAGUUGUGAAAGUUUGCGGCUCAACCGUAAAAUUGCAGUUGAUACUGGCAGUCUUGAGUACAGUAGAGGUAGGCGGAAUUCGUGGUGUAGCGGUGAAAUGCUUAGAGAUCACGAAGAACUCCGAUUGCGAAGGCAGUUCACUGGACUGCAACUGACACUGAGGCUCGAAAGUGUGGGUAUCAAACAGGAUUAGAUACCCGUGUAGUC
rnacentral:rRNA from 1 species